UUCGAGCUCCGGCUCGACUCUCCCACCCUUUGUGAACGUACCUCUGUUGCUUUGGCGGCUCCGGCCGCCAAAGGACCUUCAAACUCCAGUCAGUAAACGCAGACGUCUGAUAAACAAGUUAAUAAACUAAAACUUUCAACAACGGAUCUCUUGGUUCUGGCAUCGAUGAAGAACGCAGCGAAAUGCGAUAAGUAAUGUGAAUUGCAGAAUUCAGUGAAUCAUCGAAUCUUUGAACGCACAUUGCGCCCCUUGGUAUUCCGGGGGGCAUGCCUGUUCGAGCGUCAUUACAACCCUCAAGCUCUGCUUGGAAUUGGGCACCGUCCUCACUGCGGACGCGCCUCAAAGACCUCGGCGGUGGCUGUUCAGCCCUCAAGCGUAGUAGAAUACACCUCGCUUUGGAGCGGUUGGCGUCGCCCGCCGGACGAACCUUCUGAACUUUUCUCAAGGUUGACCUCGGAUCAGGUAGGGAUACCCCGCUGAACUUAAGCAUAUCAAUAAGCGGAGGAA
rnacentral:rRNA from 1 species